rnacentral:rRNA from 1 species
UACGUAGGCAGCGAGCGUUGUUCGGAGUUACUGGGCGUAAAGGGUGUGUAGGCGGUUGUUUAAGUUUGGUGUGAAAUCUCCCGGCUCAACUGGGAGGGUGCGCCGAAUACUGAAUGACUAGAGUGCGGGAGAGGAAAGUGGAAUUCCUGGUGUAGCGGUGGAAUGCGCAGAUAUCAGGAGGAACACCAAUGGCGAAGGCAGCACUCUGGGACGUGACUGACGCUGAGACGCGAAAGCGUGGGGAGCAAACAGG